UCCGGGGCUGGUGCCCUCUACUCCCUUUCUGGCCGUUGUGGCUCCUAGGUGUCGAGGAGGAUCUCAGGGAUUUUCCCUACUUCCAUGGGCGUGGUAGGGCCCCAAAGCUAUGAUUUUCAGAAACGUGUGGGAUGGCCAUGAGGAUCCUGCACCUAUGUGCUGGAGGGCUUCGACGGGUCGGUCGUCCGUGACCAUGCCCACGGCCGGAUGCGUCGCGAUGCCGCACCACGACUGGGGCCAGGUCCUCACGAGCAACGCAGUGCUUAUAGGAUUUCCUUCCUUUCUUCCUUCUUACUAAUUCCCUUUUUUCCGAACUAUUGGUGAGCGUACAUUUUUCUUUCUCCUCCAUCUUAACUGAUUCCUUUUGUUUGCACCUUUUUGUUCGCCCAGGUGCUGGCCUAGGUUGUUGUGUUCUUAGCAUCCAUUCUAAGAGAUUAAUUUACAUUUGAUUUCUGCAUUUUUUGAACUAGAAUUUCUACCACCCUGCAUAUCAAUCAAUACUAAAAAUAAUAUUUUACAGGGAAUAGGGAUCGACCCGGCAAAACUUGUUCGACUUCGACUUCAUUAUUAUUACUAGUAGGUACCCUCUAAAUGUUCAGCCGAUUCAUUUAGCUAUUAUACUUAUAAACACAAUGCAUACAAUUAGCUCAAGGAAUUGAUCAUAUUAUCUAUGAAUGCCCAGUCUAAUAUCAAAGAACAGUAAGUAAACAUAUACGUUUUUUUUACGACAAACACGCCUUCGUAUUGCCUUACUGUACUUAUAUUCAACUUAUUGAUUUUUCUGUAGUGUAACCAACCAAUGCUAGAUUUCCAUCUGAUGUAUAGUUACUUGCUAACAAAAUUAUUUGUUCUUUGCGUGAAAUAUACACUAGACUUAGCUGAUGUUUCAGGGCAGCACAGUGGAAGGUUGCAUGCCAUCCAAUCAAAGAUACAAGUUCAGAGAACAACUAAAGAAAGGUUCGAUCUACAGAGUUGAGUCUUUUAUUGUUUCAGUGGCGCUGAACAAAUACAUGACACCAGAUCAUCCGUAUCAGAUAGAGAUUGGUCAACGUACAAAGGUCAUCGAAGCUAUUCCAGAUCCUGAAAACUUUCCUCUGUUUGUGUAUAACGUGAAAUCAUUUCAUGUUCUGCAUUCACGCAUAGAGAACAUCGCCGUUAUAUCAGAUGUCGCUGGACUGCUGAUAAUUGUUAAUGGAUGUAGUUUCGUCGAAGACGAAUCAAGAGGCAUGGAGGCAUUUUCACUUUGAAGAUGUUUGGUAUAGGUAGCAAUGCUUCAUCAGGCCGUUAUGAACCUGUAUGAUAGUGUACACCUUUGUUAAGCGGUAAACACAAGCAUGUUCCCUCUAGGUAUUGCAAGGUAUUAGUGAUGUUCUAUACAGAGGGCUACACAGUAUGGUUUGGAUUGUUGUUGCAAAUCGCUAUCUGAAAAGUUACUUUGUUAUUCCUAACUUUGCACUUGCCUUGCAAUUUUGCAUCUCCUACAAUGAUAUGUUGCCCUUAUAUCAGGACCUUAAAAUCAAGAAAAAAGAUCAGGUUAUGUCAGCAUAUGAUUCUCACUUAGUUUUUCAGUUUAUGAAUUUCUGGAUUUUUGAUGAUUUUUUGUUACUCAGCUUUUAAAGAGCAUAACCUUUGCAAUUAUUUUCAUACUAGGUGUUGCAAAGGUGUUGCUGGCAUUUUACGUCCAUUGCUACACAACCGCAGGGCAGCCUCCAUUGAUCUUUCAAGGAAGUGCACAUGGUGGGUUCGAUGGAGGGGCAUUUCAUUCUGGGUUUCAUGCUGUGGUGGUCCUCCUGUUGGUGAUCUUUUUCCUGAAUUUAAUGGUACGCAAACUACCGAUUAUGUGCGUCCUACAAAGAACUCUGCUAUCUGGAGAGAUCACUCAACCACAUACAUCAGCUCAAAAAAAAAAAACCACAUACAUAGCCGGCUUCGUUUAGAUAAAUGCCGAAACUGCCACUUCAUAGUGUUCUGAUGUAUCUGUUUGUUGUUGUAUAUAGUUGCAGUCAAUGAAUAUAUCGGAUACUAUAUGUUUUUUUCAUCUGCUUUGUGUUACUUUUUUUCCCUGAGAAGAUCCGCGUCAUAGUCGUCUGUAAAGUUUGCUCUACUUAUGAUGAUAUUUAUCUUUGUGAUGAAACAUGCCUUCA